rnacentral:misc_RNA from 1 species
CCGAUUUUGUAUGAAUCCAAAACAAAAACAACUCUUGACGCAAACACAUUAGCAGCAGCAGCAUACUCAUGGUUAAGCUGGUAAUAGUUUCCGUGUAGUUGUUGUUGUUAGUGUUGUUGCUGAAAGCAGGUCCCACCGUACCAAAUGUCUUGGUAUACAGUCUCUAUCAUUUUGUUAAAAGUGGGGACAAAUGUAGACGUUGUGUGGGACUUGGUGAUUUGGUCAUUGUAUCAUUUCACAUAGCCACCUGAUAAAAUGCACUGUCGUAAGUGUCCAGGUAAAAGCUGACUAUAAAAAUGUGUAGUAAACGGGGAAUAUUUGUGGUUGGGUAUGAGACCCAAUUAAAGAAUUGUUCGCCACAACCCCAAAGUCUACAUAAUGUUCAGUUUGAUUCUGGACCAAGUAGUGUUAAAGUUGAGGCUAACAUUUAACUUCACAUGAUCACACGUCUACUCACCCUUAUGAUGAGGGUUUGUCUGUGUGAGUUGUGAAAAGCAAAACUUUGUGAAAGUGUUAAAACCACUUAAAUCAAAAGAGAAUAAAAAAUUU